UACGUAGGGUGCAAGCGUUAAUCGGAAUUACUGGGCGUAAAGCGUGCGCAGGCGGUUUUGUAAGUCUGACGUGAAAUCCCCGAGCUCAACCUGGGAAUUGCGUUGGAGACUGCAAGGCUAGAAUCUGGCAGAGGGGGGUAGAAUUCCACGUGUAGCAGUGAAAUGCGUAGAGAUGUGGAGGAACACCGAUGGCGAAGGCAGCCCCCUGGGUCAAGAUUGACGCUCAUGCACGAAAGCGUGGGGAGCAAACAGG
rnacentral:rRNA from 1 species